rnacentral:rRNA from 1 species
UACGUAGGAGGCAAGCGUUGUCCGGAAUCACUGGGCGUAAAGCGCGUGUAGGCUGCUCCGAAAGUCGGAUGUGAAAGCCCUGGGCUCAACCUAGGAAGUGCAUUCGAAACUUCGGAGCUUGAGUUCUGGAGAGGAAGGCGGAAUUCUCGGUGUAGAGGUGAAAUUCGUAGAUAUCGAGAGGAACACCGGUGGCGAAGGCGGCCUUCUGGACAGUGACUGACGCUGAGACGCGAAAGCGUGGGGAGCAAACAGG